rnacentral:rRNA from 1 species
GAUCAUGGCUCAGGAUGAACGCUAGCUACAGGCUUAACACAUGCAAGUCGAGGGGCAGCAUGGUCUUAGCUUGCUAAGGCCGAUGGCGACCGGCGCACGGGUGAGUAACACGUAUCCAACCUGCCGUCUACUCUUGGACAGCCUUCUGAAAGGAAGAUUAAUACAAUAUGGCAUCAUGAGUCCGUAUGUUCACAUGAUUAAAGGUAUUCCGGUAGACGAUGGGGA